ACUUACGGCCAUACCACCCUGAGAACGCCCGAUCUCGUCUGAUCUCGGAAGCUAAGCAGGGUUGGGCCUGGUUAGUACUUGGAUGGGAGACCGCCUGGGAAUACCAGGUGCUGUAAGCU
ensembl:rRNA 5S_rRNA 5S ribosomal RNA